rnacentral:rRNA from 1 species
GGCCGCGGGAAUUCGAUUCAGGCCUAACACAUGCAAGUCGAACGGCAGCACGGACUUCGGUCUGGUGGCGAGUAAAGAACGGGUGAGUAAUAUAUCGGAACAUACCCAGUAGUGGGGGAUAACUAUCCGAAAGGAUAGCUAAUACCGCAUACGAUCUGUGGAUGAAAGCAGGGGAUCUUCGGACCUUGUGCUAUUGGAAUGGCCGAUAUCUGAUUAGCUAGUUGGUAGGGUAAAAGCCUACCAAGGCGAUGAUCAGUAGCUGGUCUGAGAGGACGACCAGCCACACUGGAAUUGAGACACGGUCCAGACUCCUACGGGAGGCAGCAGUGGGGAAUUUUGGACAAUGGGGGCAACCCUGAUCCAUUAAAGGGGCGUGAGUGAAGAAGCCCCUCGGG